rnacentral:tRNA from 1 species
GGAGCCGUGCCUGAAAUAAAGGACCACUUUGAUAGAGUGAACUAUGGGGGUUAAAGUCCCCCCUGCUCCU